UACGGGGGGGGCAAGCGUUGUUCGGAAUUACUGGGCGUAAAGGGCUCGUAGGCGGCCAACUAAGUCAGACGUGAAAUCCCUCAGCUUAACUGGGGAACUGCGUCUGAUACUGGAUGGCUUGGAUUCGGGAGAGGAAUGUGGAAUUCCAGGUGUAGCGGUGAAAUGCGUAGAUAUCUGGAGGAACACCGGUGGCGAAGGCGGCAUCCUGGACCGGUAUUGACGCUGAGGCGCGAAAGCUAGGGUAGCAAACGGG
rnacentral:rRNA from 1 species